rnacentral:rRNA from 1 species
AGAGUUUGAUCAUGGCUCAGAACGAACGCUGGCGGCAGGCCUAACACAUGCAAGUCGAAGGAGAAGUUCCUUUCGGGGAAUGGACACUGGCGCACGGGUGAGUAACGCGUGGGAAUCUACCCCGGGGUGGGGAAUAACUGCUGGAAACGGCAGCUAAUACCGCAUACGCCGUAUUGGGAAAGCUUUAGCGCCCUGGGAUGAGCCCGCGUUAGAUUAGGUUGUUGGUGGGGUAAUGGCCUACCAAGCCUACGAUCUAUAGCUGGUCUGAGAGGAUGAUCAGCCACACUGGGACUGAGACACGGCCCAGACUCCUACGGGAGGCAGCAGUGGGGAAUAUUGGACAAUGGGCGAAAGCCUGAUCCAGCCAUGCCGCGUGAAUGAAGAAGGCCUUAGGGUUGUAAAGUUCUUUCACUGGUGAAGAUGAUGACUGUAGCCAGAGAAGAAGCCCCGGCUAACUCCGUGCCAGCAGCCGCGGUAAUACGGAGGGGGCAAGCGUUGUUCGGAAUUACUGGGCGUAAAGGGCGCGUAAGCGGAAUAUCAAGUUAGAGGUGAAAGGCCUGGGCUCAACCUAGGAACUGCCUUUAAAACUGAUAAUCUAGAGUCCGGAAGAGGAUGGCGGAAUUCCCAGUGUAGAGGUGAAAUUCGUAGAUAUUGGGAAGAACACCGGUGGCGAAGGCGGCCAUCUGGUCCGGAACUGACGCUGAGGCGCGAAAGCGUGGGGAGCAAACAGGAUUAGAUACCCUAGUAGUCC